UGGGGAAUAUUGCACAAUGGGCGCAAGCCUGAUGCAGCCAUGCCGCGUGUGUGAAGAAGGCCUUCGGGUUGUAAAGCACUUUCAGCGGGGAGGAAGGCGGUGAGGUUAAUAACCUCAUCGAUUGACGUUACCCGCAGAAGAAGCACCGGCUAACUCCGUGCCAGCAGCCGCGGUAAUACGGAGGGUGCAAGCGUUAAUCGGAAUUACUGGGCGUAAAGCGCACGCAGGCGGUUGAUUGAGUCAGAUGUGAAAUCCCCGGGCUUAACCCGGGAAUUGCAUCUGAUACUGGUCAGGUAGAGUCUUGUAGAGGGGGGUAGAAUUCCAUGUGUAGCGGUGAAAUGCGUAGAGAUGUGGAGGAAUACCGGUGGCGAAGGCGGCCCCCUGGACGAAGACUGACGCUCAGGUGCGAAAGCGUGGGGAGCAAACAGG
rnacentral:rRNA from 1 species